GCACCGUUGAGGAGUUCCAUAAUAGGACGAAACGGCCGUCUAGUGC
rnacentral:hammerhead_ribozyme from 1 species